rnacentral:lncRNA from 1 species
GUUGCCUGGGAAACCAGAAAGUUUUGUGACAGCUGGCCCUCCUACUUGCUUUCCUCUCUCGAGUCUUUUGUUUAAACUUUUUUUUUUUAAAAAAAUUCCAUUUAUCUGUGUGCACAUGAGUGGCUAUGCACGAGCCGAGGCACGCGUGUGGAGGUCAGAGGACAACUUUCGGGAGACAUAGACACCCUGGAAAUCUAACCCCGGCUGUCAGCGUGGUGCACCAGAACCAGCAUCCUGAGUUACGCUGUGAUACCCCUGGGCCUGAGCUCCCAUCUCGGAUGAACAGUCCUGAAGCAAUCACUGAAGUUGGUAUUGUGCUUAUUUGGUCCCAAGAAGUCCCAGGGUACAGCCCCUCAGGAGGUGGGACACCAAGUGACCGUCUCAACAGUGGCUCACCUAGAGCAAUGUCCCCAAGAAAACUAGACAUGAGUCUCAACAGACAGACUAUGCAAGCUGUAAAACAACCUAAAAACCAGAAGGUGGGCCCCAACCAGGUGACCAUCAGUGCAUGA